rnacentral:rRNA from 1 species
CCUUGCCAGCCCGCUACAGAAACUCAAAGGAAGUUGACGGGGGCCCGCGACAAGCGGUGGAGUAUGUGGUUUAAUUCGAUGCAACGCGAAGAACCUUACCUGGUCUUGACAUCCCGGAGACCCUUAGGAAACUAGGGGGUGCUUCCAUCUGGAAGAAUCUGGAGACAGGUGCUGCAUGGCUGUCGUCAGCUCGUGUCGUGAGAUGUUGGGUUAAGUCCCGCAACGAGCGCAACCCUUGCCUUUAGUUGCCAGCAGUUCGGCUGGGCACUCUAAAGGGACUGCCGGUGUUAAACCGGAGGAAGGUGGGGAUGACGUCAAGUCCUCAUGGCCUUUAUGACCAGGGCUACACACGUACUACAAUGGCCGAUACAAAGGGCAGCGACACUGCGAGGUGAAGCCAAUCCCGUAAAAUCGGUCUCAGUCCGGAUUGGAGUCUGCAACUCGACUCCAUGAAGUUGGAAUCGCUAGUAAUCGUGGAUCAGCAUGCCACGGUGAAUACGUUCCCGGGCCUU